rnacentral:rRNA from 1 species
UACGGAGGGUGCAAGCGUUGUCCGGAAUCAUUGGGCGUAAAGCGCGUGUAGGCGGCUCGAUAAGUCUGCUGUGAAAGUUCAGGGCUCAACCCUGAAAUGCCGGUGGAAACUGUCGGGCUAGAGUCCGGAAGAGGCGAGUGGAAUUCCUGGUGUAGCGGUGAAAUGCGCAGAUAUCAGGAGGAACACCAAUGGCGAAGGCAGCUCGCUGGGACGGUACUGACGCUGAGACGCGAAAGCGUGGGGAGCAAACAGG